rnacentral:rRNA from 1 species
UACGUAGGGGGCGAGCGUUGUCCGGAUUUAUUGGGCGUAAAGAGCUCGUAGGCGGUUUGGCAAGUCGGGUGUGAAAACUCCGGGCUCAACUCGGAGACGCCACUCGAUACUGCUAUGACUCGAGUCCGGUAGGGGAGUGCGGAAUUCCUGGUGUAGCGGUGAAAUGCGUAGAUAUCCGGAGGAAUACCAAAGGCGAAGGCAGUGUCCUGGCUGGCAACUGACGCUGAGGCGCGAAAGCUAGGGGAGCGAACAGG